UACGUAGGGGGCUAGCGUUGUCCGGAAUCAUUGGGCGUAAAGAGCGUGUAGGCGGCCCGGUAAGUCCGCUGUGAAAGUCGGGGGCUCAACCCUCGAAUGCCGGUGGAUACUGUCGGGCUAGAGUGCGGAAGAGGCGAGUGGAAUUCCUGGUGUAGCGGUGAAAUGCGCAGAUAUCAGGAGGAACACCAAUUGCGAAGGCAGCUCGCUGGGACGUAACUGACGCUGAGACGCGAAAGCUAGGGGAGCAAACAGG
rnacentral:rRNA from 1 species